rnacentral:rRNA from 1 species
UACGUAGGUGGCAAGCGUUGUCCGGAUUUACUGGGUGUAAAGGGCGUGUAGCCGGGUUGACAAGUCAGAUGUGAAAUCCUGCGGCUUAACCGCAGAACUGCAUUUGAAACUGUUGAUCUUGAGUACUGGAGAGGCAGACGGAAUUCCUAGUGUAGCGGUGAAAUGCGUAGAUAUUAGGAGGAACACCAGUGGCGAAGGCGGUCUGCUGGACAGCAACUGACGGUGAGGCG